UUUUCAUGUUUAUUUUUGACCUUCAUUAUCAACAUCACACAAUAUUUUAGCAUAUUUUAACUUCACGAAUUUGACUUUCAACAUCUUGGAUCCUAAAGAAAACAGUUCAUUGUUCUCAAAGCACAUCUGGAAAAAGAAAGAUACAGAUUUUGUAUGGUGACUGAAGGAGGAUAAAAUGAAGUACAACAUUAAUUGGUCCAUAGUAAGGUAUGCAAAACCAUACAAUAUAAUUUCCAGGAGAUGCCAUCUCUGCUCCGAGGAUUCUCUGUCUAUUCUGUGGACUAACGAGAAGGUGGGAAAUGAAAAACAUCUGUAGAACGACAUUCCAUUCCAAGCACAGAUGUUUUGUGCUCUAAUCUUUUCAUUCACUUUUCAAGCAUAGUAUCUGACAACAACAACAACAACAACAGCAAAAGCAACAACUACUGCAGCAAUAACAGCAGCCACAAUGACUACCGCGACACCAACAAAAACAACAGCAGCAGCAGCCACAACAUAUGCUUACUGGGUAAACUGCCAAAAUAUACCAUUUUUCAAGUGGAUAUCAGAAUAGUGUAUCCAAUAUUUUACUAAUCUUUUUGGCACUGUCACAUAUUUAGACUGUUAUAAAUCAGAUUUGCAUUCA